GAACCUUUCAAGUAAAUGAGAAAGGGCAGCAGCUUAAUAUAAACAUGGGGUUACUGACAAAAGGAGCUAAUCAGCAACAGCUUCUUGUGAUCGGUGGUACCGGAUCUUCAGUUGCGCAUCCCUACAUCAAUGCACUGCCAAUGGGUUAUAUCCUGUGUUGUGACCUCAUGGUUUAAGUGGGAAUAAAGAUGAGUAUAAGCAGUGAUGAGGUCAACUUCUUGGUAUAUAGAUACUUG
rnacentral:lncRNA from 1 species